GAUGAACGCUGGCGGCGUGCCUAAUACAUGCAAGUCGAGCGAACAGACGAGGAGCUUGCUCCUCUGACGUUAGCGGCGGACGGGUGAGUAACACGUGGAUAACCUACCUAUAAGACUGGGAUAACUUCGGGAAACCGGAGCUAAUACCGGAUAAUAUAUUGAACCGCAUGGUUCAAUAGUGAAAGCCGGUUUUGCUGUCACUUAUAGAUGGAUCCGCGCCGCAUUAGCUAGUUGGUAAGGUAACGGCUUACCAAGGCAACGAUGCGUAGCCGACCUGAGAGGAUGAUCGGCCACACUGGAACUGAGACACGGUCCAGACUCCUACGGGAGGCAGCAGUAGGGAAUCUUCCGCAAUGGGCGAAAGCCUGACGGAGCAACGCCGCGUGAGUGAUGAAGGUCUUCGGAUCGUAAAACUCUGUUAUUAGGGAAGAACAAAUGUGUAAGUAACUAUGCACGUCUUGACGGUACCUAAUCAGAAAGCCACGGCUAACUACGUG
rnacentral:rRNA from 1 species